rnacentral:rRNA from 1 species
CCUACGGGAGGCAGCAGUGAGGAAUAUUGGUCAAUGGACGCAAGUCUGACCAGACAAGGAGAGUGAAGGAGGACAGACCUAGGGGUUGUAAACUUCUUUUAUAUGGGAAUAAAAUGUUCCACGUGUGGGAUUUUGUAUGUAACAUAUGAAUAAGGAACGGCUAACUCCGUGACAGCAGCCGCGGUAAUACGGAGGAUCCGAGCGUUAUCCGGAUUUAUUGGGUUUAAAGGGGGCGUAGGUGGAUUGUUAAGUUAGUUGUGAAAGUUUGCGGCUCAACCGUAAAAUUGCAGUUGAAACUGGCAGUCUUGAGUACAGUAGAGGUGGGCGGAAUUCGUGGUGUAGCGGUGAAAUGCUUAGAUAUCACGAAGAACUCCGAUUGCGAAGGCAGCUCACUGGACUGCAACUGACACUGAGGCUCGAAAGUGUGGGUAUCAAACAGGAUUAGAUACCCCAGUAGUC